UUAUCGGAGAGUUUGAUCCUGGCUCAGGACGAACGCUGGCGGCGUGCCUAAUACAUGCAAGUCGAGCGGACAGAUGGGAGCUUGCUCCCUGAUGUUAGCGGCGGACGGGUGAGUAACA
rnacentral:rRNA from 1 species